GACGAACGCUGGCGGCGUGCCUAAUACAUGCAAGUAGAACGCACAGUUUAUACCGUAGCUUGCUACACCAUAGACUGUGAGUUGCGAACGGGUGAGUAACGCGUAGGUAACCUGCCUGGUAGCGGGGGAUAACUAUUGGAAACGAUAGCUAAUACCGCAUAAUAUUAAUUAUUGCAUGAUAAUUAAUUGAAAGGUGCAAUUGCACCGCUACCAGAUGGACCUGCGUUGUAUUAGCUAGUAGGUGAGGUAACGGCUCACCUAGGCGACGAUACAUAGCCGACCUGAGAGGGUGAUCGGCCACACUGGGACUGAGACACGGCCCAGACUCCUACGGGAGGCAGCAGUAGGGAAUCUUCGGCAAUGGACGAAAGUCUGACCGAGCAACGCCGCGUGAGUGAAGAAGGUUUUCGGAUCGUAAAGCUCUGUUGUAAGAGAAGAACGGGUGUGAGAGUGGAAAGUUCACACUGUGACGGUAUCUUACCAGAAAGGGACGGCUAACUACGUG
rnacentral:rRNA from 1 species